rnacentral:rRNA from 1 species
AACGAACGCUGGCGGCAUGCCUAACACAUGCAAGUCGAACGAGACCUCCGGGUUUAGUGGCGCACGGGUGCGUAACGCGUGGGAACCUGCCCUUAGGUUCCGAACAACUCCCCGAAAGGGGUGCUAAUACCGGUUAAUCUCUUCCGACCUAAGAUUUAUGGCCUUUGGAUGGGCCCGGGUUGGUUUAGGCAGUUGGUAGGGUAAAAGCCUACCAAGGGGGCGAUGCAUAGCUGGUCUGAGAGGAUGCUCAGCCACACUGGGACUGAGACACGGCCCAGACUCGUACGGAAGGGAGCAGAAGGGAAUAUUGGACGAUGAGCGAAAGCCUGGUCCAGCAGUGCCGGGUGAGUGAUGAAGGCCUUAGGGUUGUAAAGCUGUUUUACCCGGGAUGAUAAUGACAGUACCGGGAGAAUAAGCACCGGCUAACUACGUG